rnacentral:lncRNA from 1 species
AAUGACUACCAAGAGAACUAAGCCUAGCCGAUCGGAAAAAAGACUCACGUAUGAGUACCGUUGACUUUGUUUUUGUAUACUUUAUCAUGAUGUUGACCGCUUGUUAAGGACAAGCAACCGUCUAAGUUUGGAGGAUUUCAAUAAGUGGUAUUUGCAUAGUUAUUUAUAGUCAUUUUGUCUUAGUAUUUUACCGUAUUUCAUU